AGCUAAAGAAAGGAAGCCCAGAAAAGAACUGACUUGUCCAAGUUGUCCCAAUCCACCAGCACUGCUCUGGCCUCAGUAAAGAUCCAAGUCAAGACCAUUUCAUCUGACUCCACAGGAGCCCAAAACUUAAGGGAAAAUUCAACAUACAACAUUCAGGAGAAAUAAAAGGUAAACAUUAAAAACCAGUUGUAAGGGAUUCAAU